CCAAAGGCUCUUUUAAGAGCCGCCACAGGGCCACUAAAAAGAGCUGU
rfam:Colinus virginianus strain Texas jcf7180006226694, whole genome shotgun sequence.